ACUACAUAAAGCCAAUUAAAAAUAUGUGUAAUUCUGCUUUCAUAGUUUCUAUCGUUUUAAUGAUCAUUGUUUCUCCAACUUUUCAUGCUAAAACAGUGUGUAGCAUCACUUGUGCAAUGAUGAAACACAAAGUGAAACCUUGUUUACAAGGUGUCAGGCAACCAGGGGAGAAGCCAACAGAAUUUUGUUGUAAUGCUAUAUAUAGUCUAAACCUCAAAGCAACAACAACACAAGCUCGAAGAUAUCUCUGCCAGUGUUUUAAAGAUGCUAUAAAGUCAUAUCCAUAUAUAAAAAUUAUCGAUUUUCCUGCACUUUGUGAUGUUCCUCUAGCUAUUCCUUUUACACCAUCGAUAAAUUGUCAAGGAAUUACAUUUUGAACCGAAGAAGAAGAUGCAACGGGAAAAAAAUAGUAAUCUUCUCUAUUAAAAAAGAAGUAUCAGUUUUAUCUACUCUAAAAUAGUCAUACUAGAUUCAUAUAAUCAAUUACAUCUAUUUGAUUAUUUAUAUUAAUUUAUUAAAUAUAUAACAUUCCUAAAGUAUCAAAAUAAUUAGAAAGAUAUUAAUAAUAAAUCAAUUUUAACUGUAA